CCUACGGGAGGCAGCAGUGGGGGAUAUUGCACAAUGGGGGAAACCCUGAUGCAGCGACGCCGCGUGUGGGAAUACGGUCCUCUGGAUUGUAAACCACUGUCCCCAGGGACCAAAAUGACAGUACCUUGGGAUUAAGCUCCGUCCAACUACGUGCCAGCUGACGCGGUAAUACUUAGGGAGCGAGCGUUCUCCGGAAGUACUGGGUUGAAAGGGUGCGUAGGCGGAAUAGCAAGUCAGAGGUAAAAAUUCGGGGAUAAACUACGUCGUGACGUUGAAACUGAUGUUCUUGAGUGGGCGAGAAGUAUGCGGAAUGCGUGGUGUAGCGGUGAUAUGCAUAGAUAUCACGCAGAACUCCGAUUGCGAAGGCAGCAGACCGGCGCCCAACUGACGCUGAAGCACGAAAGCGUGGGUAUCGAACAGGAGUAGAUACCCUAGUAGUC
rnacentral:rRNA from 1 species